AUGUUUCUGAAUGCUCUUGUGCAACUGAAAAUCUUGAGAUGCCAAUUAUUUAGAUACUCUUGGGAAAUGAAAUAUUCAGAUUUCAGGCUUCUAGAAGAAAAACUCGACCACAAAAAUAGAAAAAAUAAUAUAAAUGACACUCAAAUUUUACUAUUUUGCUGCGCCAACUCCAUCAAGUAUUAUGCACAACUUGUACUACUGAUUUUGCCACAGAGACACCCAAAAAAAUUGGGUGCGCAACUAGGACUACUUUUCCAUCCAACUAAAGCAGCAGUGCUGGACAACUCCUACUGCUUCGGCGGCCAACUCUGCAUACUAUUAUCCAUAUACCAAUUAUAG
rnacentral:rRNA from 1 species